GACGAACGCUGGCGGCGUGCUUAACACAUGCAAGUCGAACGGAAAGGCCCUGCUUUUGUGGGGUGCUCGAGUGGCGAACGGGUGAGUAACACGUGAGUAACCUGCCCUUGACUUUGGGAUAACUUCAGGAAACUGGGGCUAAUACCGGAUAGGAGCUCCUGCUGCAUGGGGGGGGUUGGAAAGUUUCGGCGGUUGGGGAUGGACUCGCGGCUUAUCAGCUUGUGGGUGGGGGAGUGGCUUACCAAGGCUUUGCGGGGUAGCCGGCCUGGGAGGGUGGCCGGCCACAUUGGGACUGGGAUACGGCCCAGCCUCCUCCGGGAGGCAGCAGUGGGGAAUAUUGCACAAUGGGCGGAGGCCUGAUGCAGAAACCCCGCGUGCGGGAUGACGGCCUUCGGGUUGUAAACCGCUUUCGCCUGUGACGAAGCGUGAGUGACGGUAAUGGGUAAAGAAGCACCGGCUAACUACGUG
rnacentral:rRNA from 1 species